AUGUCUAAACUCUAAUUAGUGUGGAAAUAAAUGCCAAAACUAAAGGAACCAAAGGAAGAAAAAAAAUCAUGUACAUAUGGGGGAUGACUAAACUAAAUAAAUAAAUAUAUGAUUGCAUAUUUAGCUUUCUGUUGUUAAAAUAUUUCUUCUUGAGGCAAGAAAUGCUGAUCUAUUUGCCCUCCAAUGUAUUUUGAUCAGAGUGGUGACUGGGAAAUAAAGUGAUCAAUGUAUAAGAAAAAAAAAAGCAUGUAAAACUGUGGAACAGGCACAGAAAUAUAUAUUUUCUAUAUUUAAAAUGUAUAUUUAUACUUCAUUUUGGUCACUUUAGCGGUUUUACUUGUGCUUUCCUUUGGCGUAAUUCCACAUGCAGUCACUAGAGGGCGCGGGUGGAGUACAGUUCGCUUCAUUCUGAAAUGCUAACGGAAGCGCUACGUGUUUUCACCUGUUCUGGAACCCAAAGCGGGGAAAGGAAAACACUACACAGCUCGAACAGGAAGUUAGCAGCCAAAGCGACAGCACCUGUUGUUUGUGAGCAAAAGUUAAUCUGAUGAGCAGCAGAGGGGAGGAAGAGGAGGAGGAAGAGGGGCUGCUUCUGCUUCAUGCAAACCGGCGAGGCAUCCCCCGUGGCAACACGCAGCCCUGUCAUCUCCUGCCUCGUGCCUGGAUCACUGAAUGAGGGGCGACACACUCAUUAAGCCCUUUUUUCCCCUCUUCAUCACCCUCCUCUUCCUCUCUGCUGCCAUCAACUCGUCCUCCUUACUCCGUCAUCUCCUCGCUCGCGGCUCUGCUCAGGAAAACCCCAGGAGGCCGAGUGGAGAGGCGUGCAGAAGGUGACGGGAGAAAAAUCAGAUGGCGGUUUGUUAAAUAUUAAUCUGAUGAAGAUGCUGAAGAGCAGAUGUUGAUUCAGAAGACGGAAAGCAGCUAAGAGAGGUGGAGUUAAAAAUCCACUCCAGUGAGACCAAACAUGACCACAGGACAGGCAAAGAGAAACCAGAUCAGUGUGUUUCAAAGCUGCAAAAAAUUGAAUCCCAUCAUUUUUUUAUUAAAAAAAAGAUUCAGUGAGGAAAAGAAUAAACAAGAAUAUUAAAAGUA